GACAGAGGAUGCAAGCGUUAUCCGGAAUGAUUGGGCGUAAAGCGUCUGUAGGUGGCUUUUUAAGUUCGCCGUCAAAUCCCAGGGCUCAACCCUGGACAGGUGGUGGAAACUACACAGCUAGAGUACGGUCGGGGUAGAAGGAAUUCCUGGUGUAGCGGUGAAAUGCGUAGAGAUCAGGAAGAACACCGGUGGCGAAAGCGUUCUGCUAGACCUGUACUGACACUGAGGGACGAAAGCUAGGGGAGCGAAUGGG
rnacentral:rRNA from 1 species